GUCAAUUAUCCCUUAUUUUUAGGAAUUAUAAACCAGUUAUAUAAUCAAUUUCCAGAAAUAAAAGAAGGAAAAACAUUUUUUCCAUGUUACUAUCCCACUGUAUUUAAUCUCAGCUUCCUUUAAUUGUAAAAAACCCUAAAAGGGUUCUUGUAAGAACCAAUAGCCGCCGCCGGAUUUGAUCUCAACCGUUAACUCUUUCUCUCUAUAUUUCACGUUUCUUUUCACUCUUUUCUUUGAUCUGAGCUUCAAAAACAAAAUUUCCUCCUUUCCGAACUAUCCUACUUUAUUUUUAAUUAUUGUUGUUUCUGGUUUUACUUGGAAAACAUGGUGUUCUUAUCUGUUUUUUGUUGAUUAAUUUUAUGUUGCCAAGCUUGAAGAAAUUUUAAUUUUUGGGUGCUUUUGAUUUCUUAGUUCCGAUACAUUGGGGAAUGAGUUCUUUUUGCUAUUUAUGAGUUCAAGGAAUUUGAGAAUGCUAUCUGAAUUGGGUAGGAGACCAAUGUUAGGAAGUGGCGAAGGAUCAUUUGGGGAUGAUUUGGAGGCGGAGAUGGGGCUAUUGCUCCGUGAACAGCGUAGUAAGCAAGACGCUGAUGAUCUCGAACGAGAGCUGAAUUUGUAUAGAAGUGGCUCUGCACCUCCUACCGUGGAGGGUUCACUGAGUGCAGUCGGCGGGUUGUUUGGGGGUGGAGCCACUAUCGCUGCUGGUACUGCUGCUGGUACUGGGGCUACUGCUUUUUCAGCUUUUGCUGGAGCUAAAAAUGGAAAUGGUUUUGCAUCUGAGGAAGAGCUUAGGUCUGAUCCAGCUUAUCAUUCAUACUAUUACUCAAAUGUGAAUCUCAACCCGAGGCUCCCACCUCCUUUGCUUUCCAAGGAGGAUUGGAAGUUUGCACAAAGGUUGAAAGGAGGGAGUUCAGUGAUAGGGGGGAUUGGAGAUAGGAGGAAAGUGAAUAGGGCUGAUAAUGGUAGCGGUAGGUCGCUGUUUUCGAUGCCACCAGGGUUUGAUUCCAGGAAACUAGAGAAUGAAAUAGAAGCAGAGAAAGUGCAUAACUCAGCAAACUGGGGUGGUGAUGGACUGAUUGGUUUGUCUGGUAUAGGACUUGGAAGCAAACAGAAAAGCCUCGCUGAAAAUUUUCAGGCUGAUUUGGGACACUCUACUCCUGUCACAAGAAUACCGUCUCGUCCUUCUAGUCGUAAUGCUUUUGAUGAGAACUGCGAGAAUUUUGGUUCUGCUGAAUCUGAUCUGGCUCAUUUGCGCCAUGAACUAGCUUCUGUGGAUGCUUUAAGGUCAAGUGUGAGUGUUCAAGGUUCAUCUGCAGUCCAUAUCACCGGGCCACCUUCUUCUUACACUUAUGCUGCUGCAGUAGGCACUUCCUUGUCUAGGAGUACAACUCCUGAUCCCCAACUUGUUGCAAGGGCUCCUAGUCCUUGUUUGACACCAAUUGGAGGAGGCAGAGUCGGUAACUCAGACAAAAGAAACUUAAAUAGUCCAAGCACGUUUGGUGGUGUCUCAUCUGGUGUCAGUGAGUCUGCAGAUCUGGUUGUUGCUUUGUCAGGCAUGACCCUGUCAUCAAAUGGUGCACCAGAUGAAGAUAAUAGGUUACCAUCCCAGACUGAACAAGAUGCUGAAAAUAGCCAAAAUUAUUUGUUCAGUUUGCAAGAUGGUCAGAAUUAUAUCAAACAGCAGGCAUACUUGAAGAAGUCUGAAUCUGGCCAUUUAGAUAUGCCUUUGGCUAAGAAUAAUAGGCGAGCUGAGUUCCAGAAAUCUGCUGCCUCCUCAAACAAUUCUUACUUGAAAGGAUCUCCUACUUCCACUCUCAAUGGCGGAGGCAGCUUACCUGCUCAGUAUCAGCAUGGUGAUGGUGCAAAGUCAUCAUUUCCAAACUAUGGAAUAAGUGGUUUCUCUUUAAAUCCUGGUUUAGCCUCUAUGAUGGCUAGCCAACUUGGGACUGGUAAUCUGCCAGCUGGAUCAACUAUACCAGUCCCUGGGAUGGACUCAAGAGUGUUUGGGGGAGAUUUGGGUUCUGGACAGAACAUUUCAAGUGCUGCAUCUGAGUCGCUUAAUCUGGGGAGAAUUGGAAGCCAAAUAGCUGGGAAUGCUCUGCAGGCACCUUUUGUUGAUCCUAUGUAUCUUCAGUAUUUGAGGACAUCUGAUUAUCCUGCAGCACAGCUUCCAGCUUUUAAUGAUCCCUGUAUGGAUAGGAACUUCCUAGGUGAUUCCUACAUGAACUUGCUUGAGCUGCAGAAGGCAUACUUCGGGUCUCUGCUAUCACCACAGAAAUCUCAGUAUGGUGUUCCAUUGGGAACAAAAUCUGGUGGUUCUAAUAUUCAUGGUUUUUAUGGAAAUUCCACCUUUGGAGCUGGCAUGUCAUAUCCUGGAAGUCCCUUAGCAAAUACGUUUAUUCCAAACUCUCCAGUUGGACUUGGUAGUCCUAUCAGACACACUGACCUGAAUAUGCGAUUUCCUUCUGGGACGAGGAAUCUUCCUGGGGGUGUCACGGGAACCUGGCAUUUGGAUGCAGGAUAUAACCUGGAUGAGAGCUUUGCCUCCUCCCUACUUGAAGAGUUUAAGAGCAAUAAAACAAAGUGUUUUGAGCUUUCAGAAAUUUCUGGUCAUGUUGUUGAGUUCAGUGCGGAUCAGUAUGGAAGCCGUUUUAUUCAGCAAAAACUUGAAACUGCUACACCUGAAGAGAAAAAUAUGGUUUAUGAGGAAAUCAUGCCUCAAGCUCUUGCUUUGAUGACUGAUGUGUUUGGUAAUUAUGUCAUUCAAAAGUUUUUUGAGCAUGGACUUCCAGCUCAGAGAAGAGAACUUGCUUGCAAGCUUUUAGGUCAUGUUUUAUCACUCAGUCUUCAAAUGUAUGGUUGCCGAGUGAUUCAGAAGGCCAUAGAGGUUGUUGAUCUGGAUCAGAAGAUUAACAUGGUGCAUGAGCUUGAUGGUAGUGUUAUACGUUGUGUACGAGACCAGAACGGCAACCAUGUCAUCCAGAAAUGUAUCGAAUGUGUUCCUGAGGAAAACAUUCAAUUUAUAGUCUCAACAUUUUUUGAUCAAGUUGUGACACUUUCCACUCAUCCUUAUGGGUGCCGAGUUAUACAGAGAAUAUUGGAGCACUGCGAGGACCAAAAGACACAGAGUAAGGUUAUGGAUGAGAUUUUAAGAUCUGUUAGCCUGUUGGCCCAAGACCAGUAUGGCAAUUACGUUGUCCAGCAUGUGCUGGAGCAUGGAAAACCUCAUGAACGGUCAAUUAUCAUUAAGGAGCUAGCUGGAAAGAUUGUCCAGAUGAGUCAGCAGAAGUUUGCAUCUAAUGUUGUCGAGAAGUGCUUAACUUUUGGUGGCCCUGCUGAACGUCAGUUAUUGGUGAAUGAAAUGCUUGGUUCUACUGAUGAGAAUGAGCCUCUUCAGGCAAUGAUGAAGGAUCAGUUUGCAAACUACGUUGUACAGAAAGUACUGGAGACUUGUGAUGACCAGCAACGCGAGCUGAUUCUUUCUCGAAUUAAGGUCCAUUUAAACGCAUUGAAGAAGUACACAUAUGGGAAGCAUAUUGUUGCGCGUGUAGAGAAACUUGUUGCUGCUGGAGAGAGGAGAAUUGCUGCUCAGUCUGUGCACCCUUCUUAAAUCGGUGUAGGAAAGAAACAUGUUUGUACAGCUAACAGAAUCUAUGUGAAGCUUUCCCUUCUUCCCCCCGUAUGUAGGGCCAUGGUUCUUCUACCUAUCUUCUUAGACAGGAGGUUGUGUUUAUCCAGUUAUACAGCUUGGUGCCAAACAAGGAUAGCGGAAGGAGCACAUGUUGAUCCGCCGCUUUUGCUGGAGUAGAAAUGCCACAUGAGGAAUUUCUGCCAGUGGUCACUCCAACCUCCAACUUGUGUUUCUACCCAAACUUUUAGCAAUGAAGAAUUUAACAAAUCGAGCUUGGGUACUUUAUACCAUUGUUUUAUGUAGUUUUGUUGGUUUGAGAUUUCAGCUACUUUAUUCCCGAGAUGAUAGUAUGUGUACCUUUGGACUUAUCCACAGUUCAAAGUUUCUUGGUUCAUUGGAGUGUCUGCACAUCCUCAGGCAUUUUAUAUGGUCCCCUCCACACAUAUGGAUGAUGGAUACUCGAUAUCCUGAAUAACUUUAUUCUACCUUUUUUAUGGGUAUGAUUGAGAAUCCCCAAGUUUCAUAUGGAA